rnacentral:lncRNA from 1 species
ACAGAAGGCUGAUUGGGGCCCGGGAUGCAGUGUUUGUUCUCAGCUUGCACUGAACGUGGCAGGCCGCACCUGCCUUCCAGACAGCCUACAAGCGAGUUUAUGCUAAUGCUGAUACUCUUGCUCAAACAACUCGAAGCACGGGUAACAAAUGUUAAAUAGAAGAGGAAUGAGAAGCAAACCAUUUCUCUUUUUUAUGUGCAUUUUUGUGUGUCUGUUUGUUUGUGGAGCAGGGGUUUUAUCCCUGCAAGAAUCACAGUCGCUCUCCUCGCAAAAAUGAUACCCCAUCUGUCAUCUGGACGUCAACGCCGAAAUCAUGGGCGCUGAUGGAGGGCCUUAUUUCAGCCAUGUGUCUCAAGGAGAGGGGGUCGCAAGCUUCCAGGAGCAUUGGAAUCCCGUGGCGACCUUGUCUGACUGCAGAGCACCAGCCUCACCUCCAGAGUUUUUGACUCAGUAGGUCUGGGCUGGAGUCUAGGAAUGAGCAGUCUAACAAUUUACCAGGUAAGGCUGAUGCUGCAGGAACCCCACCUUCAGAAUCACUGUUCUAGGACGGCAAUGAAAAAAGCCUAAGAUCAUCCACUGUGCAGCCUCAGGCCCAGCCUGAUUGGUUUUUCAAGACUCUGUGGUGGAGCCAGCUGUGUUUGGAUCUGAGCAGGUAAACCAGGCCAGUGGAGAAAGGCCCUUCCUCAGCGUGGCUCCCAGCAGCGGAAACUGAGGGCUGAGACGCCCUUUGGGGUGUUGUUGUUGGGGCCUGAGACGCAGGGCUGUCAGCUUCCAAACCACCUCCCAGGCAAGCAUCCCUCACACCCCGUCAGUCCUGCCAGAGGGCUGUACUAGGCUAGGGGUUGAAUCAGAGCUGUAGCUGCUGGCCUACACCACAGCCACAGCAAUGCAGGAUCCGAGCCGCAUCUGCAACCUACACCACAGCUCACGGCAGAUCCUUAACCACUGAGCGAGGCCAGGGAUGGAACCCGAAACCUCAUGCUUGCUAGUCGGGUUCGUUAACCAUUGAGCCUCAGAGGGAACUCCAAGGGAGUGAAUUCUUUCGUGGCAGCUCCCAUGAGCCUCCUAGAGCUCAGAGCUCCCAGGACAGCACUCGAAGGAGCCCAGCAGGGAGUUUCUGGUCUAACCACAGAAGUCACAGAAUAUCACUUCCACUGCAUCCUGCAGGCCAAGAAAACCACCAAGGGUCUAAUUUUAACAAAAUUCCACCAAAAGGAAGAAUUGGGACAUCCCACAUAACUCAUUUGGACUGGGAUGUGGCACCCGGAACAAGCGCCCCUCCGAACGCCCGAAGACGGCGUGCGCGUUGUCAGGUGCGAUCAGCGACUUCCUGGCAGGUGUGCUCAGGUGUGUUAGGAGGGACACAGCUCUGACGGCGGGCAGAGAAUGAGACCGAUAAGCCUGUGCUCUGGGAUCCAGGCGCUCACAAGCAAGGGGCAAGAGGAGGUUUCCUGUUCUGGAUGAGAGGAGUCGUGUAGGAGGUAUGAGGAGGUAUGAGGAAUGAAGCCGUGGAAGUGAUGGGUGGACCUCAAACCCCACACCCCCAAAAAGGUCUGCCUUUAAUUGUUUUAUUAGAGAGUUCACCAAAAUUGGAACCAGGAAGAAAAAGAACAAGCCACAGAAAUUUGUUCUUGGCUCCAGUCAGACAGCUGAGCCCCAAACUGCGAUUCUAAAGUCUGUUUGCUAUUGAACAGGCGAAUCGAGGACCAAAAGGCACUGGCACAUCUAGUGGGCUCACAGGAGCCAUGGCCAAGUUGAGGGUUAGGGACAUGUGCCAGCAGCACGCUCGGGUACACUCUGUCCCUGCCCGAGUCUACUGCAGUAAUUAGCUUUGCUCAUUAGUUUCAAGUAAAUAAUCUCCUUGUCACAGCUGGGAUCCUUUAUCAGAACAGUGGACAUCAGGGUUUGCAAAAGCAAAGGAUCCCCCCCCCCACCCCCAGAAUUCCCUGGAACACUAAGUCAUGACCCAGAGAUUUGAAUGAAGGAAGGAAAUGUCCAAAGAGGUCUAAAAUUCCAAGGAAUAGCUCUGUCUAGAGAGUGGAAGCAUUGGGUAUGAAAAACAAAUGAAAAACAACAACAAAACCUUUGAAAUGGAUAUUGAUCUGUUCUUCAACUCAGUUUAAGUUCAGAUCAACAAAGACACGUAACUAUCUGCUAUAUAGCAGGAAAUGCAGCCCAGACCUCAGAGAUCCUGGGAGGAAACGGGUAAUAAAUGCACAAAUAGCAUUAACAUGCUAGUAAUGCACUCUGAUGGCAGAAUGUGCGGAGGGAGGGUGCCCAAGCCUGCCUGGGUCUUCAGGGAGGAUUUCCCGGAGGUGUGACUGGCACUGAUUUAAGACGAGAAGGAGCAGCGAGGAGCACUUCUGCAAGACUUGCAGAGGAGGGAGGCCUGGGCAUGAUUCUGAGCCUUUUAAAACAAUGGGCAAAAUACAUACGCUCAACCUUUUAUCCCUUGGUAUCCCAUCAUUAUGCCCAUUUCGAGGAAGGAGAAAAUGAAGAGAGAUUUCAACGCUGCCCGUGGAUUGCCUGUGGGGUUGGGGUUGAGGGAGGACAAUGCUGGGAUAGUGAGGCAGGACCCUACCAGCCCUGGGGGCACCCAAUAAGGGGCUGACCCUUUAAACUCUGCCCCCAUCCCCCAAGCAUCGCCAGGGGCACCGGCAACACCCUUAGUGCCAAGGGCAUGGUCACUGCCAAAGAGGGGGCCAGAUUGCUCAUAGUCUCAACACCUGCCUGGGGUAGAGCUCAACACCAAACCCCAAUCUCCUUUCCGUGCAGGAGAACCUCGCUAGAAUUCAACCCAGGCUGCCAGAGAGAAGAAAGGAGACAGGGGUAGUUGGGGGGCAAAAGGGAAACAUUUUCUCUUAGACUGACUGGAAAUCACAAGUUGGGGAGAAAAGGCCAAGAGGUAAAUGACUGCAUGCUGGUUGAGAGAAUGGACUUUGGGAUUAAGACAGUUCUGGGUGUAGGUCCCAGUUCUGCUGCUUCCUAACUGUAUGGACACGUUUCCCAAACUCCCUAUAGCUCAGUGUCCUCAUCUGUAAAGUGGGUGCAACAGUACUUACGCCAGUGGGUUGAUGGGAGAAUUAAACGCAAUAAUGUGUGUA